GCCAGACCUACGCUCUCCGGAGCCGCGCGGACCCAGAACCGCUCCCACCACGCAGCGAUGGGGAGGUCGCGGCCUCGCCCGGAAAUUCUAUGAAUUAUUCAAGGCUCUGAGCAGUUCCUGCUUCUCCCACACCUUCUCUGAUUGGCCAAGCAGUGACCUCUCCCUUCCCUGAAUUCGGACGAAACCCACGGCUGGUACCACCAGUCGGCUCUGAUACAUAUUCUUUAUAUUAUUUAUCUUCUGAGUAUGUGAUUUGUCUUCCCAAUGAGAUUUUAAACUACCUGAGGCGGGGACCUUGUCUUUUGCUUCUUGUGUACUUUACUGCACAGCUAGUAAAAUGAAUUAAUUAACUCA
rnacentral:lncRNA from 1 species